UCGUCAGGUGGGAUAAUCCUUACCUGUACCUCCUUUUUGGAGGGCAGAUAGAAAAUGAUGAUUGGAGCAUCGCAUGACACGUGAUUAAUGUGCUGCGUGGUCAGGACUUGCAACACCCUGGCUGCUCCUGUCUGAU
ensembl:snoRNA U8 U8 small nucleolar RNA